CGGUUGGGCAGGAUUAGCCGCUCCGGGGUCAGGUGUGAGGUCCGCCCUAGUCUCAGGAGCCGCUGGGCCCGGCUGCAGAGGCCGCCUUCCAGGAUCCCAGGCGCCUACGUCCUCCGACGCGGUGCGAAGGCGCCAGGUUUAAUAUACAACAGCAAGGAACAUCCCGGAGGCUGCCAGCUAGUGUGACUUCGUGUUUCUGUGCUACGUGAGACUAGUGUCCUCGUCUUCCAUCGUGACAACCCUUCUGUCUCCCCCAACCCCCUCCCCCCACAGUGCCAACGGGCUCUGGGCAAAGCUGCCCCGUUUUCUUUUAACCUAAGGGAUGCCAUGGUUUGGCUGACUACAUUUGACUGCCACCACUGAAGGCAGCUGAUGUCUCAAGCGGCUGGAUACUGUGGCGAUGGAAAUCAGAGGAGGAGACCGCAGUCAAAAGAAAGUUACUUUGCAACUGAUUUCCUCUCUUGGGACUGAAAAUUUAAACAGAUACUAAAUUAUGACAGCGAAUUUAGAAAGGAGGGCUCCAAGGGCUUGAAAAACCAUAUCUGGGAUAAUAUGAUGCUUCUACGAAUAUUGCGAUCACAUCGUGGCGAUCACAUCGUGGCGAUCACCGGAGCAUGCCGCAUAACUACCUCUUUGGCUAAUAUGCUUUCUUCUUGGUGAUGACUAAUCAUCUUCUAUUAAACAGCAGUAAUGCUGGAAGAACUCAACUAUACACGUGUAAUGAAGCCAGUAUUCUCCCUGGACAGAUUAGCUACAACUGAUUUGACACAUACCAUUAUAAGGGCUUCAAACCUGACAAACUCUGUCCUUGCUACUGAUGUAUGCCGUCAAGCUCCUCAGAGAAGAGAUGGGAUCCAAGUGUUCUGCUUGGUAGUACUGAUGUGCUUAACUGCCAGUUAAGGAAAGUUGCCCGUCCC